UCUGUGAAAUUCCGGGGCUUAACUUCGGGGUGGCAGGCGAUACGGGCAUAACUAGAGUGCUGUAGGGGAGACUGGAAUUCCUGGUGUAGCGGUGGAAUGCGCAGAUAUCAGGAGGAACACCGAUGGCGAAGGCAGGUCUCUGGGCAGUAACUGACGCUGAGGAGCGAAAGCAUGGGGAGCGAACAGGAUUAGAUACCCUGGUAGUCCAUGCUGUAAACGGUGGGCGUUAGGUGUGGGGACCGGUUUGGUUUCUGUGCCGUAGCUAACGCAUUAAGCGCCCCGCCUGGGGAGUACGGCCGCAAGGCUAAAACUCAAAGGAAUUGACGGGGGCCCGCACAAGCGGCGGAGCAUGUGGAUUAAUUCGAUGCAACGCGAAGAACCUUACCUGGGUUUGACAUGCACCAGACGGUUGUAGAGAUACGUACCUCCCUUUGUGGUUGGUGUGCAGGUGGUGCAUGGUUGUCGUCAGCUCGUGUCGUGAGAUGUUGGGUUAAGUCCCGCAACGAGCGCAACCCUUGUCUUAUGUUGCCAGCACUUUGGGUGGGGACUCAUGAGAGACUGCCGGGGUUAACUCGGAGGAAGGUGGGGAUGACGUCAAAUCAUCAUGCCCUUUAUGCCCAGGGCUUCACACAUGCUACAAUGGUUAGUACAACGCGCUGCGAACCUGUGAGGGUGAGCGAAUCGCUGAAAGCUAAUCUCAGUUCGGAUUGGGGUCUGCAACUCGACCCCAUGAAGUCGGAGUCGCUAGUAAUCGCAGAUCAGCAAUGCUGCGGUGAAUACGUUCCCGGGCCUUGUACACACCGCCCGUCACGUCAUGAAAGUUGGUAACACCCGAAGCCCA
rnacentral:rRNA from 1 species